rnacentral:lncRNA from 1 species
GCCACUGUGCCAUCUCUUCUUAUUCUUAUAUUUGUCUUAGAAUUCAAUAAUAAUUGUUUACAAUUUUUUAGUAUUAAAUUGAAUAAGUUUGGCAAAGUGUAUUUCACAUCUUCAAGAAAGAUUUAUUGGAAAACAGUCAUUGUUGAUUUAGACAAAAAUAUUUAGAAAAUAAGGCAUUACUGAAAUGACACAAGUAAAAUAUGAAACUGGAUACCAAUUUUUUUAAAUAUCAAAAUGCUGUAACUGAAAAAAAAACUGCUGUUUGUUUGUUGUUGGCUCUGUCAAUUACUAGAAUCCUGUGGUUUUAAUCACCAGCAGUUAAUUAACAAUGAUGUCCUGAGGAGGCUCACUGUCUCUAAGAACACAAGAAGCUCAAGCAGAUCUGAGAUGAUGCACACUUUCGGGCAGGUUCUCUCUUCUGAAUUAGGCUUCAUUCGUAAACAUUUAAAAGUAAAACCCAUACUGAAGAACAGUAACAUUUCCGAUAAUUCGGGGCUUCUGCACCAGGAUUGGGAAAUCUAGCAGAAGGCGGCUUCUUAACACUAUCUUGCUGUCAGCUACACACUGACACUCAUCCACACAACUAGCCAGCAGCACUUAUGGAGUGCUCACUUUAGGCAAGAAACCAGGUUAAGGUACAGCAAUAGACAAGAAGGUGAAAAAGAUGAUUCUGAUUACAAUUGGCAUAGUAGCUACCACGGUUUAUAAGUAUAAUUUUAACACAAAAUGCCUUGGGUUACGAAGGCUUGACAUCCCAAGAUGAUAGAUAUAUACAUACAUCCUUAUGAGUCUACGGAUUAUCAGAUUCAGUGAGACAGCUCCACAAACCAUGGCCUAUAAGUUUGGAAACACUGAUUAAUUUGUGUAAUACAAUAGGUACACAAAUAGCUAAAAUCCACAAAAGAAAGUCCCCAGCAUGAAAAUAAUUCCUGCUCAAGAAUCUGGGAAAAGCUCAACAAAAGCGUUGGUAUAUGAGGUAGGCUUUAAAAGCGGACAAUAUGCUUGCAAGAGAAAGAUGGUAAGGCAGGGAAUUCUAGCUAUACGAAAAAAGCAUGAGCAAAGCAGUUAGGACACUCCAGAGCUGGACUUCAUAGCCUUUCACGUCACAGACUCCUUCAAGAAUCUGCAGGAAGCCAUGGAACCCUCACCAGGAACGUGCACACUACGUCACAAUCGGCGGUUCUUUGCAUAACCUCAUAACCCAGGCUAAAGACCUUUGCUUUUGAUGUUUUUCAGGAACACAAAAAGCCCAACAGUAUCCAGAAAUGUAAACUGAGCAAGGAAGAACAACAGGAGAUACAGCUACAAUGAAUCUAGGCUUUGUUCUCUAACAAGGGUGGACCCUGUCAAUCAUAUAAGAAAGGAGAUCCUGCCUGAGCUACAAGGCUGAACAAAAGGAAGCAAAAACCCACCAUCCGGACAUAGAAGCCAACACUUGAGUCAAAGUCUUUUCAGGGAAUUGGACAGUAUCUGAGUGGCUAUAUAUGUGGUUGUCUUCAAUCCAGAGCCUCCUUAUGUCUUUUGUUUUGUUGCAAUGCGGACAUCUCUUACACAUAUGAUUCAUAGUUACCAACCACAUACUGUAAGAGUCAGAAGUGCAUGCAUCAAGAAAAGGAGAACUGGGGGAAUGUCAUAUACAGAGGAACAGGAAUGGGUAUGUGUAUGUUACGCUGGAGAACAGACAGGUGGGUGACCAAGGAAUACUAUCAACUUAGGUUUUAUUACUUAGAAAAAGUUCAGAAUAGAGGUAAUAUUUCAGAGGCAUUGGGGGUUGAUGAUGGGACAGAAGAGCUGAUGUGAGGAUGACACUAGCGUACCCAGCCUCAGGGAAAUCUUACAAGAAGGUCUUGAUACAGAAAAGCUACCGUGAAACUAUGCAGAACUAACAAAGGAAGCAGGGCAGAAUGCAGAAGCAGCCAAAUAAAGCGUGGGUAUAUAACACAGAAUGAGAAUGCUGAAGCUAAUCUACAGUGAAUUAUUAGGAUGUCAAUGGGAGGGAUUGGAGUUGUUAAAUGUGGAAUACCAAAGUGACAGGCUCACAAUUUAAACUCUGUAAUUACUGCCAUAUUUCACCUCAUCUGUUAAACACAAUUUAUAUAACAUGAUGCUUAUGAAUCCAUACUUACAAAGAUAAAUUCAUUUAACCAACAAACGUUGUUUUGAGUGUUUAGAUAAUAUUAAUGAACAGAUAAAAAUGACAAACUCCUUAGUACAAAAAAGCAAAUUUCCACAGAUAAAAGUGGAGAAAGUGCACAUGACGGCUUGAGAAUUUAUGUGGCACAGGCACCCAACUAUAGUUUUUAAAACACUGAUAGAAAAUACUGAAAUUAGAAAUAAUUUUGUAGAAAUAAUUGGAGAACACUACCAAAUGGUUUUUUAGAAUUGUGAGAAAACUUUGCUAAAAAUCAUGGGACAAAAUGAACUUAUAUGACAUGGUGUACCUAUCCUAAGUAUUGUAGAAGGAAUUCCUGCACUGAGAAAGAAGAGAACAAAAGUCUAAGAUAGAAAAAGAACACAUACGCUUAUAUCAAUAAAAGCUAAUAUACAUAUUCAUGUAAUAAGAGGAAUUUAUCGACUCAAAAAAGAGGUCUAGAAUAGCAGGAAAAACAUGGACUUUGAAAACAGUCCAACCUGGGACUGCACUCUAUUAUCAAUUACAUAUGAGAUGUGAGACACUGGGAAAGUUAUUAACUACACCAAUCUGUUUUCCUGUACGUAAAAUGAGACAAAGAGUAGGAAUGUAAACACUAUAUGCCUGUGUCUCAUAUCCAUUCACUUCUUCCCACUUCAGACCACAAAAUCCUCUUAUCCUGCCUGUGCUAUCAUAACGGCAGGCUAACCGAUUACUACCAGAAUAAUCUUUUCAACACGUACACUGAGAGGUAAGGCAUCCUCCCCAUAGCUGUUAAGGCCCUGCUCUUCCAGGUCCCACCUCUGGCUCCGGCCUUCUCAUCCUGCUACCCCACUUUCCACUCAAGGUGCUCCCAUCCACCACAAUGGCCCUGUCCAUUCCUUCCUUCCUCAGGGCCCUGUAUUCACUGUUCAUUCUUUCUAGAGAGCUCUUCCUUAGCAUAGCUAGUGUCUUUCCAUCCUCUGGAGAUCAGCUUUUUAAAUGUCUGCACCUCGAAAAGAUCUUCUGUCUAAAGACCAUUCUAUCUGAAAUAGUUCUGCCCAUUAUUCCCUACACAGCACCCUACUCAUUUCUUUCAAAUCAAUUAUAACAGUUUGUACUUAUUUAUUUCUCUAUUUAUUGUCUACCUUUAAGCAAUAAUGGGAUAAAGACUGUAACCCGUGGCUCGCAUGGGAUAGGUACUUAGGUUUCUUUGAGUUUAUAGUUCUCAAAGAUGUGGUCUUCUCCAUCUCCAAAGCAAAGAAACUAACACCAAACGUCCCCAUCUUAUUUCAAACUGGAAACAGGGUGUUUUCAGGACUCCUAGUGUUUAUUUACUAAUGACUAUUUUCUGAGAAGUGAAGUUUUCUCCACUGAAAAUCUUUUAUUAUUUAUUGGGCAGGAUAGUACAAAUACACAAAGACAAACACCUUUAUUAGCUGUAGGUUUGUGGGGAAAACAAAAAAACAAAAAACCACAUUCUUGUCACUCAAAUUCUUCAUACCCCUUACCAUGCUCGAGAAAACCCUCGGGCUCUUCAUAUGAAUAUGGGGUAAAAAGUAACUGCCUGGCAAGUCUCAAAUUAAGUAACGUAUAUGGAAGUGCUUCAUUAAAACUAUAAAACAGCAACUCUGAGGCCAAUAAGCCUGUACUGAUUUAGCUCCAUUCACAAGGGCUUUCCAUGCCCACCUAGAGUAUAAAGUAUUAUAUAUUUUAGCAUUAUUUUAAAUGUUCAAUAUUUCUUGUGAUACUCAGAUUUUCUUUUUAUC